GGGAAGCCAGGAGGUGAUAUGUGGAAAGGGUAAAAGGCUGAAGAAGAAGGAAACCGAUAGGAAAGGAGAGUGGACCAUGGUUGAAAGAGAAGGAGGAAGGACAACAGCAGGAGCUGGUAGACAGGUGCUGCCUGACCUGCUAAGUUCCUCCAGCAUUUUGUCUGCGUUACUCUGGAAAGAUUUUCUGUAACGAUCGCUGUGACAGUGGAGCUGAAAGAGUCUGUUUGAAAAGGUGCUCUGCUGCUUAUUCAGUGGGAUGGACCGAAUGAUGGACGCCACUUCCUGAGGGACUGCUCCUUGAAGAUGUCUUGGAUACCACAGAGGGUUCUUUUGAAGAUCCUGACCCAGGAUAUUUGUGAUUUGCAAGCGCAGAGCUCAAGAAAAGGAACGUAACGGACUUUUAACAUUGUAAACCAUUCUUCAAGACAUCGACCACUUCAUGUACUGGGAAAGGAGCUCUGUGGCAAAGAUCCAUGCACAGCUUGAAGGAGCCCAUUAUAUAGUCACCAGAACAUCAGUGCUGCCACAUUCAUCUCCGUGCUACUGUGGCAGGACAACCUCCUGAGGUAUCCAAAGCGGGUGUGGAGAAAGAAAGAUUCCAGGGCUUGUGUCAGCGCUCAUGCCGAGCGGUUGUUUGACAGAGAACUCUCUGAUCCACACAUUGAUCCCAGGGACCUACAGGGAUGGACAUCUAGUGCUGUUGGAAGAUCACCAACAUGGUGAAAGACAUCCUCU